rnacentral:tRNA from 1 species
GCCUGGGUGGCUCAGUUGGUUGGGCGUCUGACUUCGGCUCAGGUCAUGAUCUCACAGUUUGUGGGUUUGAGCCCCGUGUCGGGCU